CGAACCUUCUUCUCCCUUUCCGAUCUCCUCCUCUUCUCCUCUUCUCACAUGAAGUGAGGAAGCUCGUGUGAGUGCUCGGGAGGGAGAUGAGUCCGAGGUCGGGGGUGUUGGCGGCCGGCCAACAUCGCUCGCGGCUCAGCCUGUAGCGGCGGAUCCCCCCUUCUUCUUCUUCCAUCUUCUCUUCAGAAGGGACGAGGGCGACUCCCCCUCACGGAAGAGGUCGGUCACGACCGGCGGCGCCCAUGGUCGCGCCCGCAGCGGCCGGCCCCCUCUCUGUUCUUUGGUGCAAAUGGGGGUCGGAACCACCCCCUUGAGAAGAAGGGGCCUCCGUCCCACCGCAGCUCUGACUGAAGCCCGCGGAGUCUGCGGUCGGAGCCGGCGGCUCCUCUUUCGUCCCCACUACGGGUAGGGGAGGGACCCAUCACCACGGCCAUGGCAGCAGCCAAACUCGCAGCGACCAAGAAAAAUCUGCGGCCGAGUUCACCGUGCCGGAUCCGCAGCUGGGGGGACCCUAGUUCAUGAACAAGGGUGAUAAGAAAUUUAUCUAGCUCCGAGGAGCUGUGAGGUCUUUCCGACGGGAUACUGUAUCUCCUCCGGCGGCUCAGUUGCGGUGACGAGCUGGGUUUUCUCCUCCUUUGCCGCUCCCGAUCCAGCUCCUUUGCACAGAAGGAGAAGGGAAUGAGAGGCAGUGAGAGGGUAAGGGAUGAAGCAUUCUUGAGAAGAGUCCUUGGGUUCUUAUAGGCCUCAGUGGGGAGGAAGAAGAGUGGUGGAGAUCGUGGCUGUUAGGCAGUUAUAACCGCCUCAACAGCUGCCGAUCUCCACCGCGAUUCCUUCCGAGUUUUUAGAUGGGCUGCCGACUAUAGUCCAGGUUGGCCCAUCUGGUUCGAGAUUUACAGUUCGUUCCCUAUUCUUGUUAAUAGCAAUGGAGCUAGAGCUACUUUUCAUAUGGUAUCAGAGCAGAGCUUAUUUUUCAGGCUGCAUUGAAACCUUCUGUGAACCUAAGCGUGGAAGAGCUUAACAAGCUUGUUGAUGGAGAUGUCGAAGAAGUUAUCAAGAUCGAUGCCACGGUAGCUGAUCUUCGGCUGGCCGGCCACAAAAUCCUCCAUGGCUGCGGGCAAAUGGGAUGUUCGUCUCGAGGGACACCGCGAGCAAGAGGCGAUUUAGAGUUUUUUUUGGAGGUUCUUGAUCGGAGCAGAGCAGAUCUGAGAUCUUCCCCUUGUUUUUGGGACUUCUUGAUCAGAGCAUAUUUGAGUUCUUCUUCUUGGUUUUGGUGCUUGCUGAUCAGAGCAGAUCUAAGUUCUACUUCUUGGUUUUGGAGGUUCUUGAUCAAAGCAGAGGAGAUCUGAGUUCUUCUUGGUUUUGGAGGUUCUUGAUCAGAGCAGAUUGGAGCUCUUCUUUUGGUUUUGGAGCUUCUUGAUCGGAGCAGAUAUGAGCUCUAUUCUUUCUCUAUGGCUCUCUCUCAUACUUCCGAUUCACUUGAUUCCACUGAGAAUCCUUCGAUCCCCUUCUACCUCCCUUAUGGUGAUCAUCCUGGUCAAGUCUUGGUGGCUCAACUUCUUACCAUCGAGAACUAUAGCUCUUGGCAUCGUGCAGUGAUUCACGGUUUGCGAGCAAAGCGUAAGUUGGGCUUCAUAGAUGGUACAAUCCCCAAACCAAGUCCCACUGAUGCAUCCUAUUCCUCUUGGUUGGCAUGUAACAAUAUGCUGCAUUCCUGGUUGAUGAAUUCAAUUUCACCAGAUAUUGUUUCUAGUGUUCAAUAUAUUGAAUCUGUUAGAGAGCUAUAGUUGGAUCUAGAAAAACGAUAUUCUCAAGGAUAUAGAGCUAGAAUUUCUAAGUUGCAAUCACACAUUGGUGCUCUUUCACAAGGCUCCAAUUCUGUCUCGGUCUAUUUCACUCAGUUGAAAACUCUUUGGGAUGAAUUAAUGCAGUUCAGCGCUCUUCCUUCUUGCAAAUGUACUUCCACUUGCAGUUGUGGUGCUCUCACCACCAUUGCCUCUUUUCAACAUGAGGAUUAUGUUGUAAAGUUUCUUAAUGGUUUAAAUGACAGUUUUGUCUUUGUCAAAGAUCACAUAUUGCUGAUGGAACCUUUGCCUUCCAUUAACAAAGUCUUCUCCACUGUGCUUUAAGCUGAGAAGCAAAAAUCUAAUCGAGCUAAUUUGGCCGUAAUGUUUCUGUAGAGCCUGCUGCUUUAGGAAGUCAAACUAAGCCCCAACAACAAUAUCAGAGGAACAAAUCCAGCAGUAACAACAAGAAACGUCCCAUUUGCAAUUGGUGUGGGAAGCAGGGACAUAUAGAGAACAAAUGCUUUGAAAAGCAUGGAUAUCCAUCCGGCUGGAAGAUCAAUCGAAAUAAACCUACAAACUCUAGUAGAAAGAAUACCACUUCUGCCAAUCAUGCACAAGGAGCCAUGAUCGAUAAAGGGGAUGCAGCUGGUGACAUUCCACAACUCCUAUUCACUCAUGAAUAAUGUCAGAAGCUUCUCUCAUUGAUUUCAAAUUCAGAUAUCUCACAGCCAUCAUUAAGUAACCAAACUUCACACCGAGCAAGCAGUGUCUUAGGUCCGCCACCAAUGUCAGGCCCUGCCUACAUGGAUGACGAUUGGACUAGCUAGAGAACGGGAUGGUUUUUUCUACGUGCAUUCACCUUACAAACUACAUUCUAAACCUCAGAAACAGUCUUCCACACAAAAUCACAAUCUUUCAAUUGCUAUUCCAUCUCUCAGUAAAGCAUAUGGUGCUGAAUGACAUAAGUCUUCUUUUCUUUGUAAUGAUUUCGAUCUUUGGCAUUAUAGGUUAGGCCAUUUGUCUAAGGAUCACCUUCAUAGUAUAAAGAGAUCUUUAGGAGUAAACUCCUCUCAUCAACAUUGUAUAGUCUAUCCUUUAGCAAACUAGAAACGUCUUUCUUUUCAAUCAAGUACUAGUGUUACUCAUUCCAUUUUUGAUCUUAUACACUAUGACAUUUGGGGACCUUAUUCAGUUGCUGCAAUUGGAGGUUAUCAUUACUUCUUGACUAUAGUAAAUGAUUAUUCUUGCGCUACUUUGGUAUAUCUUAUGAAAACAAAAGGAGGCACUCAACAGCUGCUACAAUCCUUUUUUACUCUUGUUGCCACACUGUUUGGUGUACAAAUUAGGAAAAAUCGUAGUGAUAAUGGACCUAAAUUUCACAUGCCUGAUUUUUACAAAGCCAAAGGUGUUUUACAUGAAAAAUCAUGUGUUGAAACCCCUCAACAAAAUAGUGUGGUUGAAAGAAAACACCAGCACUUGUUACAACUUGCAAGAGCCCUUCGAUUUAAAGCUCAUCUUCCAUUAAAAUUUUGGAGGGAUUGUGUUUUGACCGCUGCUUAUUUAAUUAAUCGCAUUCCAACCCCUGUUCUGUCCAACAAAUCAACUUAUGAGCUACUUUUCUGUAAACCACUUUAUUACACUCACUUGUGGGUUUUUGGUUCAUUAUGUUAUGCUUCAACUCUCUCUAGAAAUAGAUCGAAGUUCGAUGCUCGAGCCACUGCAUGCAUCUUUAUUGGUUACCCUCUUGGCAUGAAGGGAUACAAACUUUAUGACUUGAGUUUCCACUCAAUUUCCGUGUCUCGUGAUGUUGUUUUUCAUGAAAAGAUCUUUCCUUUCAAAAGAAGCAUGUAAUCUCCACUCCCUCCGUAUCAGGCACAUCCCCUGUUGUUUUAUCUCUGCCAAUCAUGGAUAAUUUUCCUCACCAUGUCACCUCCACUCCUGGCUCUCAAGCUUAGAGCUCUUGCACAUUUCUCCUAAUGUCACUUUUUUUUCUGACUCCCAAGUUCAGACUUCUUCUCCUGUUCCUACAAACCCUGCACUUAGCAGUCCUUGACCUACCAGAGUAAGACAUCCUCCCUCUUAUCUUAGAGAUUAUCACUAUAACUAGUCAUCUCAUUCAUCUAAUAGUCCAUCAUCUUCAAUGACAGCAGGACCUGCUCCAAUUUUUAAGUACUUAGGUAUGUACUCAGGUAUCAUCUUGUUCUCUUUCAUCUGUUUUGUCUUAUACAAAAUUGGCACCUACACAUCAAGCUUUUACUCUUUUUAUUUCUUCACAUUUUGUACCUCAAACCUACUCUCAAGCUGUUGAGUAUCCUGAAUGGUGUCAAGCUAUGAAAGCUAAACUCACUGCUCCCGAGGAAAAUAGGACUUGGACUAUCGCUGACUUGCCUCCUAGUAAGCAGCCAGUAGGAUGUGAGUAUGUGUACAAGAUUAAAUACAAGUUAGAUGGGACUAUAGAGAGAUUCAAAUCUCGGUUAGUAACAAAAAGUUACGCUCAACAAGCUGAGAUUGAUUACUUAGAGACUUUCUCUCCUAUGGCUAAAAUGACCACAGUUAGAUUACUCUUAGCAGUUGUUUAUGUUCGUGGGUAUUUUUUGCAAUAGCUUGAUAUCAAUAAUGCUUUCAUUCAUGGUGAUUUGCAUGAAGAGGUGUACAUGGAGUUACCUCUUGGAUAUGCUGGCAGUAAGAGGGAAUUUUCUGGUAAGGUGUGUAAACUAAACAAGUUAUUAUAUGGCCUAAAGCAAGCUUCAAGGCAAUGGUACUCAAAACUGUCACAAGCUUUGCUUAACUAUGAUUUUCAGUAGUCCAAAUCAGAUCACUCUUUGUUUAUCUACAAGUCUGACUCUAUCUUCUUGGCACUUUUAGUUUAUGUUGGUGAUAUCAUAUUGGCCAGUGAUGAUAUGAAUGAGAUUACUCGAUUGAAAGGGUUCUUAAAUGAGUAGUUUAAAAUCAAAGAUUUGGGGCAAUUGAAGUACUUCUUGGGAAUCGAAAUAGCACGGUGUAAAAGAGAAUACUGAUGAAGAUCUGCUCACUGACCCUACAAGCUAUAGAAGAUUGAUUGGAAAACUUCAAUAUUUAACUGCAACACAGCUUGACAUUUCUUAUUCUGUUGGUAAGCUUAGUCAGUUCAUGGAUAAGCCGGCAAAAGCACACAUGAAUGCUGCCUACAUAGUGCUAAGGUAUAUCAAGCAAAAUCCAGGACAAGGGUUGUAUUUUCCUGUUGAUUUAGAAUUGCACAUCAAAAGUUUUUGUGAUUCAGAUUGGGGAGGCCGUAAGGACAUCAGAAAGUCAAUAACAGGGUACUGCAUGUUCUUGGGUCAUAGUUUGGUAUCCUGGAAGUCAAAGAAACAUUCCACGGUUUCCAGAUCUUCAGCUGAAGCAGAGUACAGUGGUCUUGCUUCAACAACCUGUAAGGUUUUGUGGUUAAAAUACUUUGCUUGCUGACUUGAAAAUUGAUCAUUCACGACUAGCUUUACUCUUCCGUGACAGUCAAUUAGCCUUACAGAUUGCAAAAAAUUAUGUAUUCCAUGAACGUACUAAACACAGAGAUUGACUGUCCUGUUGUGCGGGAAAAGCUACAAGUAGGAAUCAUCAAACCAAUUCACAUUUCCUCGGGUUAGCAAAUAGCAGACAUUCUCACAAAGGCUCUUGGAAAAUUACAGUUUCAUAAUCCGUUGCGCAAGAUGAAUAUGAUCAAUAUAUAUUCAUCUUGAGGGGGAAUUUUAGAAGAAUCAACAUUGUCAUACAGUUGAAGGACAAGUGGCUGGUUAAGUUGAUUUUCUGUGCAGCUGUAAUAGGAGGCACAUUUUCACUUACCUCAUAUUAUUUUUUUAUAUAAAGUAUAGAGUCAGUUCUUCUUUUCAAAUAUAUAAAUACACUGAUGUAAUAGGAGAAAGGGUGAAUAAAAAUUUUGUUUCCUUUCUUCCA